GUCGAAACCACUAAAGAGGGUAUGUACGACAAGAUUGGGUGAAAUAUAAUUAUGCUCAACUCUAUUAGCCGGAACCCCUGAGGUAGUUUGUACGGCUGAAUUCAUAGCUCAAAAGUCAAUCUGGCAGAAGUCACUACAAUGACCUAUACGGCAAUAUACUGCACAUAAGUCGAAACCACUAAAGAGGGUCUGUAUGACAAGAUUGGGUGAAAUAUAAUUAUGCUCAACUCUAUUAUCUCAUAAUAGUUGGUCGAUGAAUCGCUAGUCACUUACGAGUCAGAACCGUGAAUAAGGUCUGUACGACAAGACUAUGCACUUAAGUUGGAUCCAAUAUGAGCAUAUAGUACGGGAGGUGACGUAAAUAAACAGGCAUGUACCUCAUAUCUCUGGCUAAUUCACAAUCACUCUAGGUGCAGCUUUAUGAGCUCAACAUUACUUAAUCACAUAUCACAUAUCACAUAUCACAUCAUCGAUGAUUCACACAACCAAACAUAACUUAUUGAACUCACCUGUGCCUUCACAGCACCACAUUUAUAUAUAUAUGCAACCAUGCAAUGCAUAUUCAAAAUAUAGAAGCAUUUGGCAUAUUAUUUCAAAGCAUACUUUCCUUAAAAAUGCAUUUCUGGGAAAUAUAUCAAGUAUAUAAAUAUAUACUGAAAACAAAAGCCCACUCACUGGUAUGUCGAAGGGUCGUAGCCCCCGAGUCACCUGUGGAUACGCUCAUCCUAGGGAUAAGUCUCACCUAUAAGCAAAUUAACUAUAAAAACGUUGUUUUAAAGUACAUAAGCAAAACUAGCUAAUAACUUCUCAUACAUUGCUCAAUUUGGGUAUAUGAAUAUACCACAGUGAUCUACACAACCUCACGAACAUUGUGAUAUUUUUAGAAAAAAAAUUCUAUGGCUCAUGUGCCCUCAUGUGCCGGGGAGGGCACGGCCUCACGUGUUGCCCACGCGCAUCGUCUUCAACCUCCAGACGCCUGAAUAGUGUCGCCGACGCCGGAUUCUGGGUAGACCUGCAAUUGCCUUUUUCUCACUCGUUUUUGCACCAUUUUCAUGCAAUUUAUACCAAAAUGAAGCUCUUAACUUGUAGAACAUGAUUAUACUAAUUUAAAGCUCUAAAAGUCACGGGAUCUCACCGGAGAAUUCCAAGAAAAUCAGCCAAACUUCGUCCACACGAUCCCGACGUCCAAAACCUUCAAACGAAGCAUUCUAAGCUUCCUUGGGACCUCACUAAGCUUGCUAUGAGCUUGGAUUGUCCUAAAACAUAACCAUUUAAAAGUUCGUGAAUAGUGCUUAACUCGGAGCUUGAAUUUUUAACGUGAUAUCGAACGAGUUCUUACCUGAAAUGGGUACCUUUAAACUCGUAUGAUCCUCACGAACACAAUGGUACUAAUUUUGGCCACGAUCCAUGAAGUUUCAAGGGUCUUGGGUGCUUGUUCGCCCCAUUUCGAAUGAGAGAAAGUGAAACCGAGAGAGAGAGCACGGGAGAGUGAGAGAGAGAGACAGGAUUUGUGGUCCAGAUUUUUGGGUCACCAAUCAAAACAACCCAUUUUCCUUACUUCCAAUUGGUUCCAAAAUAAUAGGACCUUAACACAUUGGUCCUCAACCACACAUAGUCCCAUAAUGCCACAAACGCUCAAGGGCAUUUUAGUCUUUUCACAUCAACGAUAACAAAAUAAUGUACAUUUCCGGGACGGGUUGUGACAGGCACGCUUAACCUUGACCAUUUCACAGUUUUACUGCUAUAGGACUUAGUCUAAUUAGAGAUUUCUUGGACUAAAAGCCCACUGGCCUAAGGAAUUAUUACUGGGCUGAGAAUUAUAGCUUUUCAACUUGGGUUACUCGUUCUUGGCACAAACCUUUAUUUCAGGCUCAAACAAUGUGAAACUGUAAUUUGUCUGCAAUAGAAAAUGUGUGAAACCCCACCCCCAUUAUUAAUUUUUAAAUUCAUUUUGUCCCUGAAAGUUUAUAAAAAUAUGCAAUUUGGUCCCCUAUCCUAAUUUAAUCCAGACCUUUCAUCUAGAUUUCCUUUCUCCCCCACGCUGCCACGUGGCACCACCUUAACUUAUCCCCUAUCUCUCUCUUUCCCUAAUCUCUGUCUUCUCUCUCUUGUACUCAUGCUCCCCUUUUCCCAGCAACACCACACCCACACACACCUACACUGUCACCUAGA
rnacentral:lncRNA from 1 species